CCUUUCUGGCAUCCGUGGGAGAACAGAGAAGUCCUGAGGCCUAGAGAACCAGGAGGCAGCAGCAGCAGGAGGAGUUGUCCUUCUCUUCAGUGAAGAUCUGGCUUUGGAAGACGUAGAAUCAGAAAGUGUCAGAGCUGCAAGGGCAUGUAAGAAGGCACACACCCCAGCCCCCGAAGCUUCACUUGCCUCUGCCACAGCCCAGCGUGUGGCCCUCUGCCAGUGCUGACUCCUUCCGUGAGAGAGAUGCUCUCUUCCUGCCAAUGCUGGCAGCUGCAUUUGGGGCUGUUUGAUUCGCAGGUCUUCUCAUGAAAUUCUACCCGACUAUCAGUCCCUUGGGAUCCUGUAAACCAGCAUUCCAUGAUGGCCCAGGACACAUGGGAAGACACAUUUUACAGCUCCCAAACCUCUACCCCUGUGCCCUGAGCAUUCUCUGGGCCCUCAACAAGGUGAGCAUGCGACCAUGCAGAUGAGGACAAGACUGCCUGGAGGCUUCGCUUGUCAAGCUCUUUUUGAAUCCUGAUUUUGUCUCACAAGCCCAUGUAACCUACAGGGUCACUGUGCCUUCUUUUGGUCGAAUUCUGAGGUUGGGAGAAGAGGAGUUCUGCUUCUCUAUACCUCCCCGGAGCAGGUGGGGUCCAAAUGGCCCUUUCAAGAGGGUAGGUAGAGCCUGCAGGAACAAUCGUGUGCUGUCCAAACCCUGGGCCUGGAGGGAAAUCCAGACACACUGUCCAAAGGACAUGACUAGCAUUGGCCCCAGAUGGCCCAUGUGUUUCCAAAGGAAGAGCAUGGAUUCUUCCUCUGGAGGUUGUGAGGGAAGCAACCAAGGGCCUGGCAGGCAAGAAGCCAAGGUCUAGGAAGCUCUCCUAAAGCCUACAUACAGCUCUCUGGAGUGUGCAAAGGAGGGGCUGUGUUCAGGAAGCAAACCUAGUGGGAAGAAGACAGGAAGCACAACAGAAUACCAGGCCAGACGGAGUGGGCUUUGCCGAGCUUUUGGCAGGAAGAGUUGAGGGACGAAAGCUUCCUGCUGAGGCCAGUGCUGACAACUUGCCGAUUGACUUCCCAGGAGGAGAUGGGUUCAGGGUUGAGAUGGGCAGUGCUGAAGAUGAUCCACCUGGACGUGGUUGCAAGAAAUGAUGGAGCCAGAGCUGAAAAUGAGAAUGGAAAGAACGCACACCGUCACCGUGACUCCAGUGAGCUGGACGUGGUAGUGCACUCCUGUCAUCCCCGCACUCUAGAAGGCUGAGUGAGGCAGGAUUGCAAGUUCAAGCCCAGCCUGGGCAACGUGUGACUUAGAAAGAACUUCUUUCAAAGUUUCAAAAAAAAAAUAAAAAGGGUGCUGGGGAUGCAGCUAGUUGUGAAGGCCCUGGGUUCAAUCCCCAGUACUGAAGAAGGAGGGGAGGAGGAAGAGGAGAAGGAGACAGCUCCAGUGAGAGUGGUGCAGAGGACACAGCCCAGGACAAGGCCGAGCACAUACUAAGGACAUGUGCUGGAAUCAGAGCUCAACACGCCCAGAUGCAUCGCACUUAGACUGUCAUUUACCCAUCUGAAGGGACAGAGUGGGGGAGAAAAUCAAAGGCCUUGUUGGAUUUUACUAACACUGUCACCCACCCCGCCAAGUCUGCCCCAUUCCUAAAUCACAAAGGAAAUGAAGCUACUUCUUUGGCAUAGUUUAAAUUGAACCCCAUGCCAAAUUCUAGUUCCCUAUUACUUUCACCAUAAUGUUGUUCAGCCAUUAAAAUGCUAUGUUAUCUGAGUUCAGGCUUGUUUUCUAAGAACAAAAAAGUAAUUCAUUUGCUUAAACAUUCUAAAAGCCUCUAGUACAGUUGUGUAAAGUGUACCUCUACCCUACCAAAGGAAUGCUUGCUCCUCUUUGGUCUGACACACUCCCAGUCUUGUGACCUUGAAAGACUCCUGGCCUCAUCCAUGAGUCCAGCUGCUCAGCAUCUGAAAUUCCUUCAGGCCAGGCCUAUAGAGCAACCACCUCUCUCUCGGAAGAAGUGACAAAC
ensembl:lncRNA